UACGGAGGGUGCAACCGUUGCUCGGAAUCACUGGGCGUAAAGCGCAUGUAGGCGGCUUUGUAAGUCGGAUGUGAAAGCCCUCGGCUCAACCGAGGAAGUGCAUUCGAAACUGCAAGGCUUGAGUAUGGAAGAGGGUCGCGGAAUUCCCGGUGUAGAGGUGAAAUUCGUAGAUAUCGGGAGGAACACCAGUGGCGAAGGCGGCGACCUGGGCCAAUACUGACGCUGAGGUGCGAAAGCGUGGGGAGCAAACAGG
rnacentral:rRNA from 1 species